rnacentral:lncRNA from 1 species
CAGGGGGACCAGGGGAAUAAGGGAAGAACACUGGGUCUUCUCAAGAGAACCUCCUACCCUUCAAAGAACCAUCAGGAUCAGAAUGGCAGUCAGAAUAGGCACCGGUUGCCUUCCUGGCAGAGAAACUGUCCCAGCACUCUGGGCUGAAAAAGAGAGGCUUGCAGAAGGAGUCCUCCCAGCCUGCCUCUGGGUUUCUUGCAUCCAUGGAGGUCAGGGUGUCCAUGAAACAGUCAGACACCAGGCUUGCCCAGCCUAGCACUCCAGCCAGCUCUCUCACAACAGCACUGGCCCAGACACCCUGAACUUGCACUUUGACCUAGACGAGUUUUCCAUGGCCCAGAAAGGAUACUAAGUGACAGGAUCCAUCUACUCAAGAAAAUGAGGCCAGGAGCCCUCCCCAGCAUCUCCAGCUCAAGCCUGGACUGCCACAGCUAACCUGCAGGGGCAGCACAAGACAGCUCCUUCCUGCAGUAUUCACAACACUCCAAACAUGUGCCACCUACUGUGAUCACACCGGGUACAGCAGUGACUAAGAAACACAGGUCCCUUCCUCAAAAUCAUCAGGAAAUGGUCCAGGUGGCACCUAAGUGCUAUGAUGGACAGAGGAAACACAGCAGCAGGGAGAAAUGUCCAGAAGGAGGCCUCAGAGGGCCUGGGGUCUAACCCUACCCACCUGCACAGCUCACACGGACAGCCAGCUUCCCAGAGCAUGUAUCUGCCUGCAUAUUCUAUGCCGUGAAUGAGGCUGAAAUUGUCUUCAUUCUGUCCCUAGCACACAAGAGCUUUGAAAAACAGCCCACAAAUUUCAGCCAGGGACACUAUUAGAUUAACAAAGACCCUUGAAAUGAAGCCUGUCAUUUUCGAGAACUCCUUCAAAACAAAAUCGUGACAGGGCCUUCAAAAUCAGCCGGCUGAGUCUGCGUCAACAUGAGACCUUGCCCGCCAUCAUCCGCCUGUGACAGCACUGCCUAAUGGGUUUUGUGCGUGGGAGAGCUGAGCUGCCAUGGACGUUUACGUGAAAUACACAAGCAGGCUCUGGCCUGAGUACCUGCCCCUGUCAAACUUCUUUUGUAAUCAGUGGGGAGAGGUGGAAAGGCUCUGGAGACUAACAGAUGUAGGUCUUGCUGCUUUCUCUGUGUGUAGUCACCCUGCAGCUGCACCCAAACACCUGCUACAUGCCUCCCCACACUAGGUGCUAGGAUAGCUGCUGCUCAGACCUGUGAGAAGGAGACAGGACACGCAUACUAAAGGAGGUAGGGCAGGAGACCAGCCUCCAAGAAUCCAGGACCAUCUGAGCCCUGUGAACUGUGAGGCCAUAUCCCCAAGCACAGUUUUUAUACAA